rnacentral:rRNA from 1 species
UACGUAGGGGGCAAGCGUUGUCCGGAUUUAUUGGGCGUAAAGAGCUCGUAGGCGGUUUGUCACGUCGGAUGUGAAAACCCGGGGCUUAACCCCGGGCCUGCAUUCGAUACGGGCUGACUAGAGUUCGGCAGGGGAGACUGGAAUUCCUGGUGUAGCGGUGAAAUGCGCAGAUAUCAGGAGGAACACCGGUGGCGAAGGCGGGUCUCUGGGCCGAUACUGACGCUGAGGAGCGAAAGCGUGGGGAGCGAACAGG